rnacentral:rRNA from 1 species
UGGAGGAAAAGSUAGGGGAUCGCAAGACCUUGCGCUYUUGGAGCGGCCGAUGUCUGAUUAGCUAGUUGGUGAGGUAAAGGCUUACCAAGGCGWCGAUCAGUAGCUGGUCUGAGAGGACGACCAGCCACACUGGGACUGAGACACGGCCCAGACUCCUACGGGAGGCAGCAGUGGGGAAUUUUGGACAAUGGGGGAAACCCUGAUCCAGCCAUGCCGCGUGAGUGAAGAAGGCCUUCGGGUUGUAAAGCUCUUUCAGCCGGAACGAAACGGUCACGGCUAAUACCYGUGACHACUGACGGUACCGGAAGAAGAAGCACCGGCUAACUACGUGCCAGCAGCCGCGGUAAUACGUAGGGUGCRAGCGUUAAUCGGAAUUACUGGGCGUAAAGCGUGCGCAGGCGGUUUUGUAAGUCAGAUGUGAAAUCCCCGGGCUUAACCUGGGAACUGCGUUUGAAACUACCAAAAGCUAGA